UAACAGAAGACACAACAACUAAAAUGACAUUCAUCAACAUCCUCAUCUUGAUCUUAGGAAUCCAAUUUCAAGAUUGCACAGGACAGGUGACUGUAAUUCAGACUCCCACACUGAAACCUGCUCAGUAUGGAAACACAGUCACUUUGACCUGUAAAACCAGCAGCUCCAUUGGACGCCCCUCAGAUGGUCACUGUAACAAUUGUAUGUCCUGGUACUUACAGAAACCUGGAGAAACUCCUAAACUCCUCAUUUAUUAUAUAAAAACUCUUCAGUCUGGAACUCCAUCUAGAUUCAGUGGCAGUGGAUCUGGAAGUGAUUUCACUCUGAGCAUCAGUGGAGUCCAGACUGAAGAUUCAGGAGAUUAUUAUUGUAUGAGCAUACACUGGAUCAGUAAUAGCUGGGUGUUCACACAGUGA